UUCUUCUGUCCCGGGAAUGUGCAUGUGAUGUGUUUCAGAACUGAUGGGAGUUGUUCAGCAUAGCGUAUCUGCCAAACAUUUUGUUGUUAUAUGAAUGAUGGUGUCCUGAAUUCUUGUCACUAUACAAGUAUGAGGGAGGCUCACAAGCAUAACAAGUGAGAAGGCAAAAACAAAAUUUGAAAGUAUGUUCAAUCUGAAAGAAAGCCAUUCCAUUGCAGACACAUUAUGAAACCAUGGCCUUGCAUGGCCAUCCACAAGAUCAAGAUUUGUAUGUAUGAAUCUG